CCCUUAGAUGUCCGGGGCCGCACGCGCGCUACACUGAUUCAUGCACUAAGUAUAUAACCUUGGUAGAAAUGCUUGGGUAAUCUUCGAAACUGAAUCGUGCUGGGGAUUGGAGCUUGUAAUUAUUCUCCAUGAACGAGGAAUUCCUAGUAAACGCGAGUCAUCAGCUCGCAUUGAUUACGUCCCUGCCCUUUGUACACACCGCCCGUCACACCUACCGAUUGAAUGGUCCGGUGAAAUCUUCGGACCGCGCAACGCCGCAAGGUGAUGCGUGGAAAGUUGCUUAAACCUUACCAUUUAGAGGAAGGUGAAGUCGUAACA
rnacentral:rRNA from 1 species